UACGGGGGGAGCAAGCGUUGUUCGGAUUUACUGGGCGUAAAGGGCGCGUAGGCGGUCGUGACAAGUCACUUGUGAAAUCUCCGGGCUUAACUCGGAACGGUCAAGUGAUACUGUCGGACUAGAGUACAGAAGGGGCAACUGGAAUUCUCGGUGUAGCGGUGAAAUGCGUAGAUAUCAAGAGGAACACCUGAGGUGAAGACGGGUUGCUGGGCUGACACUGACGCUGAUGCGCGAAAGCCAGGGGAGCAAACGGG
rnacentral:rRNA from 1 species